rnacentral:rRNA from 1 species
AUCUACGGCCAUGCUACCCUGAACACGCUGGAUCUCAUCUGACCUCAGAAGCUAAGCACGAUUGGGCCUGGUUAGUACUUGAAUGGGAGAAACUGCGUAGUGAAGAAC